GUUCAAUUAAACAAAUAGAUCGAGCGCUUCUAGUGUAGUCAAAAAGAUUGCUUUUUUCAAAAAUUUCAAAAAGCCACGUACUCGCUCGAAUCUUUAUCUUUAAAAUGCGAUCUUGUUCGUUAAAAUCUUUCAAGAAUUACGGCUAUACUCAUCGUAGCCGUAAACCGUUAUAAAAUCAAGGCUUUGACGAGCAACUUUAAGUCGUAGAAAUUUAAAAAAUUGUACACAGAGAGGGGUUAUCGGUUAACGCGAUAGCCCGCACUGCUACCGUUAUCACGGUAUACUGCGGUUAGCGACAGUGGAUAGCGAUGAUAAUAGUAAAAACGAAAAUAUAUAACAGACAGUCAUAGUUCGAUAAAAUGUGGUAUGGAACUCUUUAUCCAGAAAAGAUUUAAUUGAUCUUAUUAUAACAUUAUAUUUUGAUCUUUGUUCUAUAUAAUUACAUGCAAAACAGCAUUGUAACAUCGUGUAUGUAACUAGUAGAUAAUUAUUUAUUUCUUAAAUGAUAUUAAAUAUACUUUACAUACUAUUA